AUCCGCUUCCCUUCUUAUCUCUAUUUAAAACGAAUGUAAAAUAAAACUUACACUAGAUCUAGUGUAUUAGUUGCGUAGGUUUGAAGAAGCCACACUUGUACGAUGUCUUUUAUGAGCCUCUUCGCGAUUUUAAUUACAUUUCAAGUCAUAUAUUUUGAUACCAGUGAAGGUAUAACUUUUAUGGCAGUCGAACCUACUGGUCUAGAUAAAUAUACAGUAAAGUAUCACAUACCAACUGAAGAAGAUUUUAAUAUACCAGAUGGCCGCUUUACGAGUGGUCCUGGCUCAUUGGAUAAUUUUAAGUGAGAAGCAAUGACUAUCGUACGUAUUAUUAUAAAUGAAAAAUAUUUCGACGACAGUCACGUCUUUAAUUUUGGAUGCCGACACAAAUUUAUCCCACAAUUUGUAACCUUCAAUCCAAAUAAUAGUAAAAUUAUACACAUUUCAUUAUUUUAAUUAUACA